GGGCCUGGGGCCUCCUCUCCCCUGACUUGGCGCCGCAGGAGGCCCGGGGUCUGGAGCUCAGCUGCUCUCACGCAUCCCACCCCUGAGCAGAGCAGCAGAGACCUGGGCUGAGGGGCAUGCUGUGUCCAGGACGUUGUCUGAAAAAAGAGAAUGGGAUGGGUACAUUCCUGAACACACCAGGCCCAGGGACAAUGGAGUCACAGAAUCGUAAUGAGGAACACACAGUUACAGCACAGUCAUAAGAAAUCGUGUUUGUGUGUGUAUGGAGGGGAAAAGAGGCUUAAAACGAGAAAGCACUGUGUUUCCUCCCUCAGUCUCUGUGAGUAAAAUGCUACAAGCAGAAGAGGAUGGGGCCUGAGGCUUCUCAAUUCCUUCUCAGGAAGGCCCAAAAUAAUCCCAGUACCUUUCAGCAAACUGUUAGUGUUUGUGAGUAAGCCAACUCAUUUCCUUA